rnacentral:rRNA from 1 species
GACGAACGCUGGCGGCGUGCUUAACACAUGCAAGUCGAACGGAAAGGCCCUGCUUUUGUGGGGUGCUCGAGUGGCGAACGGGUGAGUAACACGUGAGUAACCUGCCCUUGACUUUGGGAUAACUUCAGGAAACUGGGGCUAAUACCUGAUAGGAGCUCCUGCUGCAUGGUGGGGGUUGGAAAGUUUCGGCGGUUGGGGAUGGACUCGCGGCUUAUCAGCUUGUUGGUGGGGUAGUGGCUUACCAAGGCUUUGACGGGUAGCCGGCCUGAGAGGGUGACCGGCCACAUGGGGACUGAGAUACGGCCCAGACUCCUACGGGAGGCAGCAGUGGGGAAUAUUGCACAAUGGGCGGAAGCCUGAUGCAGCAACGCCGCGUGCGGGAUGACGGCCUUCGGGUUGUAAACCGCUUUCGCCUGUGACGAAGCGUGAGUGACGGUAAUGGGUAAAGAAGCACCGGCUAACUACGUG